rnacentral:rRNA from 1 species
AUUGAACGCUGGCGGCAUGCCUUACACAUGCAAGUCGAACGGCAGCACGGGUGCUUGCACCUGGUGGCGAGUGGCGAACGGGUGAGUAAUACAUCGGAACAUGUCCUGUAGUGGGGGAUAGCCCGGCGAAAGCCGGAUUAAUACCGCAUACGAUCUACGGAUGAAAGCGGGGGACCUUCGGGCCUCGCGCUAUAGGGUUGGCCGAUGGCUGAUUAGUUAGUUGGUGGGGUAAAGGCCUACCAAGGCGCCAAUCAGUAGCUGGUCUGAGAGGACGACCAGCCACACUGGGACUGGGCCACGGCCCAGACUCCUACGGGAGGCAGCAGUGGGGAAUUUUGGACAAUGGGCGAAAGCCUGAUCCAGCAAUGCCGCGUGUGUGAAGAAGGCCUUCGGGUUGUAAAGCACUUUUGUCCGGAAAGAAAUCCUUGGCUCUAAUACAGUCGGGGGAUGACGGUACCGGAAGAAUAAGCACCGGCUAACUACGUG